rnacentral:lncRNA from 1 species
UGGUUUUCAGAAAGCAACCUUGUUAACUAUCACAGCCAACAGACUCUUAGUCAAGAAGUCUUACUCCAAUAAGGGUCACAAUCACAUUGGAUCCAGACUCAUUUGCUCACUGAAGGUAGUGCCUAGUAAAGCAGGUACUACUUACUGAGCACUGUCUAUGUGCAGGCACUGUCCUAGAGGCUGUGCCUCUACCGUCCCUUUAACCUCACUGAUUCUAUGACACCAUGACAACCACAUGGGGAAACCAAGAUUCGGAAUUUUUUUAACUUGCCAAAUUCAUACAGCAACACAAAAGAUAGAAUCAAAAUCCAAAUCCAGGUCUUUCUUACCUCCAGAGCCCACAUUAUUAAGUAGAUUAUAGAAGAGUUUUGUAACAUAGAAAGAAGCGCCUUAGAAUUAGCCCGAAGUUGAAAAUCUACCAGUAUUUUAAAUCACUACCUUAACUUCCCUACCUUUUUUCUUCCUUAACAAAUAUUUAUCCUGAGUUGACAUUGGGCCUGGAUUAAGUGUUGUAAGUAGCCAAAUAGUCUGCCUGAAUUAGAAGAAGGAAUCAAUCAAUUAGAUUAUUUGCUGUUAAUUUUUUUUUUAAUUGAGAUUUUAAAUUUUAGUUUAUAAAUCCUUCUUAGUGUGAUCUGCAGACCAAAAACAUCCCAGUCAACUGGGACAUUGUUAGAAAUAUAGAAAUCCCCUCCCUACCCUCCCAACCAAAGUACCUAGUUUGAGCAGCACUGCUAUCCAAGUUCACACAGACCCAACAGUAAUCGCCUUUAAAUUUUGUUUUUUAACGCAAUGAAGUUUCAGAAGUGUCAUUUGCAAGUUGACACUAUAAACUUCUAGUACUUGAUGAUGAUGAGAAAAGUAGGUCAGCAGAUGCACUGGGUUCACAUCCUCUGUGAGGUUAUACUGCUGCAGCAGGUCACGUGUCCAAUGCAAACCAGAAGCGAGCUAUUCCUUCCUCAGUUAACUAGUUACAGAACUCUACAUGAAGACAUGGGGGCUAGACAGACAGG